GAUGAACGCUGGCGGCGUGCCUAAUACAUGCAAGUCGAGCGAACAGACGAGGAGCUUGCUCCUCUGACGUUAGCGGCGGACGGGUGUGAAACACGUGGAUAACCUACCUAACAGACGGGGAUAACUUGGGGACACCGGAUCUAAUACCGGAUAAUAUAUUGAACCGCAUGGUGCAAUGGUGAAAGACGGCUUUGGUGUCAGUAAUAGCUGGUUCUGCGCCGCAUUGGCUGGUUGGUAAGGUAACGGCCUAGCACGGGAACGAUGCGUAGCCGACCUGUGAGGGUGGUCGCCCACACUGGAACGUGGCCGCGGUCCAGGCUCCUACGGGAGGCAGCAGUAGGGAACGUUCCGCAAUGGUCGAAAGCCUGACGGAGCAACGCCGCGUGAGUUAUGACGGUCUUCGGAUCGUAAAGCUCUGUUAUUGGGUAAGAACAAAUUUGUAAGUAACUAUGCACGUCGUGACGGUACCUAAUCAGAAAGCCCCGGCUAACUACGUG
rnacentral:rRNA from 1 species